CAGUUCGGACUGCAGGCUGCAACUCGCCUGCACGAAGUUGGAAUUGCUAGUAAUCGUGGAUCAGCAUGCCACGGUGAAUGCGUUCCCGGGUCUUGUACACACCGCCCGUCACACCAUGGGAGCCGGUAAUACCCGAAGUCAGUAGUCUAACCGCAAGGAGGACGCUGCCGAAGGUAGUAUUGGCGACUGGGGUGAAGUCGUAACAAGGUACC
rnacentral:rRNA from 1 species